GCCUCGGUGGCGGAAUUGGCAGACGCGCGAGACUUAAAAUCUCGUUCUUUUACGAGAGUGUGGGUUCGAUUCCCACCCGAGGCA
rnacentral:tRNA from 1 species